rnacentral:rRNA from 1 species
CCUACGGGAGGCAGCAGUGGGGAAUUUUGGACAAUGGGCGCAAGCCUGAUCCAGCAAUGCCGCGUGAGUGAAGAAGGCCUUCGGGUUGUAAAGCUCUUUUGUCAGGGAAGAAACGGUCUACUCUAAUACAGUGGGCUAAUGACGGUACCUGAAGAAUAAGCACCGGCUAACUACGUGCCAGCAGCCGCGGUAAUACGUAGGGUGCAAGCGUUAAUCGGAAUUACUGGGCGUAAAGCGUGCGCAGGCGGUUAUAUAAGUCAGAUGUGAAAUCCCCGGGCUCAACCUGGGAACUGCAUUUGAGACUGUAUGGCUAGAGUGUGUCAGAGGGGGGUAGAAUUCCACGUGUAGCAGUGAAAUGCGUAGAUAUGUGGAGGAAUACCGAUGGCGAAGGCAGCCCCCUGGGAUAACACUGACGCUCAUGCACGAAAGCGUGGGGAGCAAACAGGAUUAGAUACCCUGGUAGUCCACGCCCUAAACGAUGUCUACUAGUUGUCGGACUUAUUGUNUUGUACGUCGAGCUACGCGNGAGUAGACGCCGCGGAGGUACGGUCGCGAGAGUAAACGUUAAAGUAAGUAGUAGACGNGNGAGAGNGACGACGACGACGACGGAGGGAGGAGG